GUCGAACGGCAGCACAGGAGAGCUUGCUCUUUGGGUGGCGAGUGGCGGACGGGUGAGGAAUACAUCGGAAUCUACUUUUUCGUGGGGGAUAACGUAGGGAAACUUACGCUAAUACCGCAUACGACCUACGGGUGAAAGCAGGGGAUCUUCGGACCUUGCGCGACUUGAAUGAGCCGAUGUCGGAUUAGCUAAUUGGCGGGGUAAAGGCCCACCAACGCGACGAUCCGUAGCUGGUCUGAGAGGAUGAUCAGCCACACUGCACCUGAGACACGGUCCAGACUCCUACGGGAGGCAGCAGUGAGGAAUAUUGGACAAUGGGCGCAAGCCUGAUCCAGCCAUACCGCUUGGGUGAAGAAGUCCUUCGGGUUCUAAAGGUGUUUUGUUGGGAAAGAAAUCCAGUUGGUUAAUACCCGGUUGGGAUGACGGUACCCAAAGAAUAAGCACCGGCUAACUUCGUGCCAGCAGCCGCGGUAAUACGAAGGGUGCAAGCGUUACUCGGAAUUACUGGGCGUAAAGCGUGCGUAGGUGGUCGUUUAAGUCCGUUGUGAAAGCCCUGGGCUCAACCUGGGAACUGCAGUGGAUACUGGGCGACUAGAGUGUGGUAGAGGGUAGCGGAAUUCCUGGUGUAGCAGUGAAAUGCGUAGAGAUCAGGAGGAACAUCCAUGGCGAAGGCAGCUACCUGGACCAACACUGACACUGAGGCACGAAAGCGUGGGGAGCAAACAGGAUUAGAUACCCUGGUAGUCCACGCCCUAAACGAUGCGAACUGGAUGUUGGGCGCAAUUUGGCACGCAGUAUCGAA
rnacentral:rRNA from 1 species